AUUCCAGCUCCAAUAGUGUAUAUUAAAGUUGUUGCAGUUAAAAAGCUCGUAGUUGGAUUUCUGGCGGGAGCGAUCGGUCCUUCACUCAGUGUUGGAACCUGAUUGUCUCCUGCCAUCCAUGGAGAAAACUUAUCUGGCAUUAAGUUGUCGGGUAGGCAAUCUCCAUCUUUUACUGUGAAAAAAUUAGAGUGUUCAAAGCAGGCUUAUGCCGUUGAAUAUAUUAGCAUGGAAUAAUAAGAUAGGACUAUGGUACUAUUUUGUUGGUUUCUAGCGCCAAAGUAAUGAUUGAUAGGGAUAGUUGGGGGUGCUAGUAUUUACCGGCCAGAGGUGAAAUUCUUGGAUUCGGUAAAGACUAACUUAUGCGAAAGCAUUCACCAAGGAUGUCUUCAUUG
rnacentral:rRNA from 1 species